GGAGUUUGGGCCGUGUCUCAGUCCCAAUGUGGCCGAUCACUCUCUCAAGUCGGCUACUGAUCGUCGCCUUGGUGGGCCGUUACCCCUCCAACUAGCUAAUCAGACGCGGGUCCAUCUUAGACCACCGGAGUUUUCCUCACUGUAUCAUGCGAUACUGUGAGCAUAUGCGGUAUUAGCACCAAUUUCUUGAUGUUAUCCCCCUGUCUAAGGCAGGUUACCCACGCGUUACUCACCCGUCCGCCACUCAGUAACCCUAAGGUGAAUCAGAUUCAGUGCAAGCACGUCAUCAUCUUCGGUUAAGGGCUCUUCGUUCGACUUGCAUGUAUUAAGCACGCCGCCAGCGUUCAUC
rnacentral:rRNA from 1 species